UCAGACUCCUUUACUAUUCAACAUCAUAAUAUACAAUAAUAAACGGUACCGGAUCAACAGCUGGGAGGGAAGAGGAGAGACGGAGGCGGCGGAAGAAAGGAAGAAAGUACCGAAGGAAGGAGAGGUUUAAAACUAUACAAAUGAGUGAAUGGCGGUCUCUCUGUGUGUGUGUCUUUUCCGGUGGUGUUCGUCCCUCUGUGGUGAACCAUGACCCCAUCACAGCCUUCAUAAUAAUAAUACGUAUAAUAUCACAGAGGUUGGACUUGGUAGGGUCAUGGCGUUCUUUCGAGGGAGAGAAGUGUGGCUCUCUUGCUCCCUCAAAGACUGAAGGGUAUGACUUCUGGCUUCGACAUAAACCCUGAUGGAGCCUUAUGGAGAGAAAAAUGUGGGUCUCUUUCUCCUCUAAGACUGAAGGGUAUGACUUUCAGCUUCGACAUAAACCCUGAUGGAGCCUUAUGGAGAGGGAAAUGUGGGUCUCUUUCUCCCCUAAGACUGAAGGUUACGAUUUUCAGCUUGACACAAACCCUGAUGGAGAGAGAAAUGUGGGUCUCUUUCCCCUCUAAGACUGAAGGGUAAGACUUUCAGCUUCGACAUAAACCCUGAUGGAGCCUUAUGGAGAGAUAAAUGUGGGCCUCUUUCUCCCCUAAGACUGAAGGUUACGAUUUUCAGCUUGACACAAACCCUGAUGGAGAGAAAUGUGGGUCUCUUUCUCCUCUAAGACUGAAGGGUAUGACUUUCAGCUUCGACAUAAACCCUGAUGAAGCCUUAUGGAGUGAGAAAUGUGGGUCUCUCGCUCCCCUAAGCCUUAAGGUUACGAUUCUCAGCUUGCCUUGUCUGUCUGUCUGCUACGUAAUGCGACACAAGCGACCGAGACAUGUGGUCAUUUUCGUCGUAUGUGAUGGUAGAAUUGGUCUUUUUUUCCAUGUCCUGUUACUGGGGUGCUAACGUACUCGCUUCUGCUGUCGUUUUACCCUUCGGAGAUGUGACGGAACGGCGAGGGAAGGUUGUGUUGUGUGUGCGUAAGUUUGUGCAAGAUUGGGGUGAGUUUGCACAUGGAAGCAACGGUCGUAUGCAAUGAUGUGUGUGCGUGUGAAAUUAUAAUGUGAGUUGUGGUAUUUGAAUAGAAGCAACUGUGUAUUGACUGACAAAAUGAAAGAUGAUAAAUGAUGAAGGAGUGAAUGGGAGAAUUAGUUCUUAAGUCGCGUACGAGAAAUAUGGUCUAAGGGACAUUAUUAGCUGUGGCCUCAAACUCACAAAGCACACUGUACGUCGGCCUGUAAAUAAAAACUAAUAACAUAUACGCGACUUCAAAACAAAAACGGUCAACUCCCCUAAAUGUCGCUCUGUGUGUCGCUCUGUUACUGGAAGGGAGUGGAUGGUGCUGCUGCUGGGGCCGAGUGGAGAGACGAACGGACGAGUGAUUGAGGCGUUGAAAGAGUUCCUGGAGAGCAUGUGGCGUGCAAGAUGUAGGAUACCUUGCCCUGAGUAGAACACAGACUUUCCGCAUGUUUUUGUUUUCUUUCACAGGAGCUGCUGAUACAAAGGCCUGGCUGGGGAGGAAUCCUAAGCCACCUGUGACAUCAAGAUCAAGUGCAGAAAAUGAGCUGGAUUUUAAUAGAUGUGAUUGUUGGAUGUCAUAAUGAAGAUGGUAAUAGAUGAAAAUGUAUAAGGGCGAAAAAUGAGGUUUGUUGAAAGAGGAGCAACUGGUGAGUAAUAAUUGGAAUAAAAAAAAUUAAUAAAUGAAAAAAAUGAGGAUAUAGAAGGAAAUAUAAUGCCUUUCCAGUGAAUGAGUGUGAGUUUAAAUUUCAUUGCUUCCAUGGUAGAAAUAAAUAAAAAUAAAUAAAUGAAUAAAAAUGAGAAUAUAGAAGGAAAUACAUUACCCUUACAGUGAAUGAAAGGACGAGUUUAAAUUUCACUGCUUC